rnacentral:misc_RNA from 1 species
CAACCAGAUUUAUCUCUCCAAAUUAGCCCACCCAACAGCAAACCCUCAUCAACAUGGAGAAGAACAGAAGAAGAGAUGGGUUUGGGAUUCUGGAAGAGAGCUUUGGACUCCAGAAACACUAUGUCUUCAUUGGCAAAACCUGAUGCCUGUUUUGAGCUCUCACUAUCAAAUCCAAGGGUUUCAGAGUCCAACUCCAACCAUUUUCACCUUCUCCAAAACAACAGCAAUUACAAUGGUAACAAUGUUUUCGAUUAUUUACCACAAAACCAGUACCAACACCAACUCCAACAAAACCAUCUUCAUCAUCACCAUCCUCUCUUUCAGCAGCAGCAGCAGCAGCAACAAGGGCUAAGCCAAGAGCUUGGUUUAUUGAGACCCAUCAGAGGGAUUCCGGUAUAUCAAAAUCCUCCUCCCUUUUCAUUCUCUCAACAACCUUUGGAUAGUGCUGGUUCUCAAACUUCUUCUUUAGCAACCAAUAACUCGAGCUCCGCAAGUUUAAGACCCUAUCAGUCUCCAGGUUUGAUGAGAUCACGAUUGAUGUCAAGAUUUCCAGCUAAACGC